rnacentral:rRNA from 1 species
UACAGAGGUCUCAAGCGUUGUUCGGAAUUACUGGGCGUAAAGGGUGCGCAGGCCGCGCGGGCAGUCAAAUGUGUAAUUCAGAGGCUCAACCUCUGGACUGCGCUUGAUACUUCCGUGCUCGAACCUUGGAGAGGAGUCUGGAAUUCUCGGUGUAGCAGUGAAAUGCGUGGAUAUCGAGAAGAACACUAAGGGCGAAGGCAAGACUCUAGACAAGUGUUGACGCUCAUGCACGAAGGCUAGGGUAGCGAACGGG